AUGGUUGAGGUGGUGCGUAGAGAGAGGGUGCGCAUAGAUCGACAGAAAGAUGCGGUCAACGGCACAAAAGACAAAGCGAGCUGGUGUGGAGCGGCAGCCGAGUGUGACGUUGUCGAGCAGGAAACCCGUGAUGUUGGGCUAGGUCCAGGCGACAUGUUCGGAGGGGGGUGUGGUUUGAUCAACUCUCACCUUCUUACCUCCCAUGUGAAAAGAGGGGUGGUUGCGGCGUUGAAGGGCGUGGCCCGCGACCUAUCAAGAUGGAGUAAGGAUGUGGUGGGUGAUACGGAGAAGAAACUAAAGGAUGCCAAGCGUGAGUUGGAGAAUUGUAGAAAGCAAGCUAUCACACCGGAGAAGGUUGCUGAGGAGGUGAGAUUACGGUGUUUGGUUGAUCAUUUGGAGGAAGUCAUUGAUAUAAAGUGGAGGCAACGAGCUCACGUUGGGUGGCUGAAGGAGGGGGAUAGGAACACAAAGUUUUUCUUUAGAUAUGCCUCGGCGAGAAGGAAGGCCAAUAGAAUCCGAAGGCUUAGGAGGGAGGAUGGAGUGGACCUGUUCACCUCGAAUGGUAAUGGCCAAUAUGAUGAGCUUCUCCGGGCUGUUCCGGUGAAGGUAACGAGUGCUAUGAAUGAGAGCCUCACAGCUGCAUUCUCUGAUAUGGAAAUCAAAGCUGCCCUUGAUCAGAUAGGGGACCUGAAAGCACCGGGGCCGGAUGGUAUGCCCAUGGUGGUCUUCAAGAAAUAUUGCCAUUUGAUGGGCAGGAACAUCAUUGAGGAGGUGAGACAUGUCCUCGUGGAGGGUGAGAUGCCGGCUGGAUGGAAUGAUACCCAUGUUGUGCUAAUACCCAAGGUCAAAAACCCCUCAUGGAUAAAGGACCUCCGACCCAGAAGUUUGUGUAAUGUUCUGUAUAACAUCAUUAAAAAACAAGGAAAUCCUCACGUAAAAAAAGCCUCACCUUAA
rnacentral:rRNA from 1 species